UUUUCUCGCACAAUUUCUUUGUGAAAUCUAAGAAGUAAUAGGAUUUUGUCACAAGUGGAAAAAACAAAUUUAUACUGAAAGCCUGUGAAGGUGCAAAUUUCUGUAAGGAUCUUUGAAGGUAAAUUUCAGCAAUGUUUAGCAUUGGGAAGAAGAAGAGUGACAUAAUUUUCGGCUUUAUGACCGAGGCUUGGACUCAAGAGCAAUUACUUUUGAUUCUGUUUAUCGUAAUAGUAAUUUUUAUAACUAUUGGCUGGCUAUAUCGUGGCUUUGCGCACAAAUUUGUUAGAGAUCCCAGGAAGACGGAGAGGAGGAAGCGAAGGAUGGAAAAGAAAUCAGACGAAAGCAGAAGCCCUUCUCAGGAACCGAUCCCCGCAGCAAGCAACAUUGGACUCCACUAAACUCUGAAGCUCCUCAUGAACGUGAAGUCAAAAUUUCUGUACAG